rnacentral:misc_RNA from 1 species
AUGCCCGAUGUUUUUUUACAUCACUAGUCACUUUGUUAAUCAAAAUAUUAGAAAAAACUCCAUUUCCGCCUCGAAAGUGCAUUUCGCGAUCGCGCAAAAGUGUUAAUAAGCGCGCGACUCGUUUGUUGAUCUUAAAAGCGCUAGCAGGCGAUGAAAAUCACGCAGAAAGCCAUCGUUUUUUCUUCUUAAACUUUUACUUACGGCAGACACGCACACGCACGCAGUUCACCGACGCACUCGCACACACACAACUACACGCACGCGGAGAGCAGAGCAGCAAGAGGAAGAAGAAGCAAAUCAUCAAACUUAAAAAUUGCGAGAUUCCUUGGCACCGGCUAGCCGUGACUGAGAGGAGGAGGAAUUGCACCCGCCCGGCACACAGCACACAGCAUGUUCAGUGAACAUGGGCGGAUUCCUGGAUAAGCCGAAAACCGCCAAGCACAAUGACGAGGGCGAGGGCAACAAGCUGCUCUUCGGGGUCAGCUCGAUGCAGGGAUGGCGGUCGGAGAUGGAGGACGCCUACUACGCUCGUGCCGGGCUGGGGGAUGCCCUGCCGGACUGGAGCUUCUUUGCUGUGUUCGACGGACAUGCCGGAUGCAAGGUGUCGGAGCACUGUGCCAAGCACCUUCUGCAGAGCAUUAUCAGCACCGAGGAGUUCAUUGGUGGCGACCACGUGAAGGGCAUUCGCACCGGCUUCCUGCGCAUCGACGAGGUCAUGCGGGAGCUGCCGGAAUUCACCCGGGAGUCGGAGAAAUGCGGCGGAACCACCGCCGUGUGCGCCUUUGUCAGCCUCACGCAAGUGUACAUCGCCAAUUGUGGUGAUUCCAGGGCAGUGCUGUGUCGCCAGGGAGUUCCUGUGUUCGCCACGCAGGAUCACAAACCCAUUCUGCCGGAGGAGAAAGAACGCAUCUACAACGCGGGUGGCAGUGUGAUGAUAAAACGCGUAAACGGCACCCUGGCCGUGUCAAGAGCCCUUGGCGAUUACGACUUCAAGAACGUGAAGGAGAAGGGACAGUGUGAGCAGUUGGUAUCGCCAGAACCGGAGAUAUUCUGUCAGAGCCGCCAGGAUAGCGAUGAGUUCCUGGUGCUCGCUUGCGACGGAAUUUGGGAUGUGAUGACCAACGAGGACGUGUGCAGCUUCAUCCACUCGCGAAUGCGAGUGACCAGUAACCUAGUGAGCAUCGCCAACCAGGUGGUGGACACCUGCCUGCACAAGGGUAGCCGCGAUAACAUGAGCAUCAUCAUCAUUGCUUUCCCCGGAGCUCCGAAGCCCACCGAGGAGGCGAUAGAGGCUGAACAUCGGCUGGAGAAGCAAAUCGAGAAGAUCACAAGAGACGAGAUUGAGUCUAGCAAGAUAACCGACUACGUGGAUCUGCUGAAGUGUCUGCAGAACAGAGACGACAUCGAAGGUCUUCCACCCGGAGGCGGUCUGCAGUCCAAAUAUCACGUUAUCGAGCGUACAUUCAAGCAAGAGUUUCCGGAUCGACCAUGUGAACUGUAUGCAUACGAUGAUAUAUGAAUUUUGUAAUGCUAAUUGUUCAUUUUUAAACCAACCAACCAACAACCAACCAGCAAGAGAACAAUGAUAACUAAACACCCUAUGCUUCACAUACUCUAAAUACUUGGGCGUACCGCAUGU